rnacentral:rRNA from 1 species
UACAGAGGUCCCAAGCGUUGUUCGGAUUCAUUGGGCGUAAAGGGUGCGUAGGUGGCGCUGUAAGUCGGGUGUGAAAUUUCGGAGCUUAACUCCGAAACUGCAUUCGAUACUGCGGUGCUUGAGGACUGGAGAGGGGACUGGAAUUCAUGGUGUAGCAGUGAAAUGCGUAGAGAUCAUGAGGAAGACCAGUGGCGAAGGCGGGUCUCUGGACAGUUCCUGACACUGAGGCACGAAGGCCAGGGGAGCAAACGGG